CUGUGUUAACUUGCUCGGGCUGCUGUAACAAGUAACACAGAUUGGGUGGCUCAGACAGCAGAAGAUUAUUUUCGCUCACAGUGCUGGAGGCUGGAAAUCUGAGAUCAACGUGUUGGCAGGGUCGGGGUCUCCUGAGGCCUCCCUCCUUGGCUAGCUGACGUUGCCUUCUCCUCCCUGUGUCUUCCCAUGGUCCAUUGCCCCUGCCCCGCCCGCGUAUCUGUGUCGAAAUUCCCUCUUCUUGUAAGAACCCCAGUGAUAUUGGAUUAGGGGCCACUGGAAUGACCAUGUUUUACCUUAACUACCUUUUUUGGCCCCAUCUCCAGAUACAGUCACACUCUGAAGAGCUGGGGUUGGGAUUUCAACAUAUGAGUUUGAGGGGCACAACUCAGCACACAGCAGGAGCCAGCAGGAGCCACAGGCUGGAGAGGAGAGUGGAGGAGAGGAGACCAGCAUGUCCUCCAUCCCCUGCCUGCUCUAGCACCUCGAAUGGGCAAAGGCAGCCUCUAUUCCCAGCCUGCUCCCUUCCUGUAAGUAACAUCACUUCCCUCCCCGCCCCCCAGGCUGGUAACGGCUUCCCCUGGUAUUGUCUCAGCCUCAGUACCCCUUGUUUGUUCCCUCUACCCUACCCACACUCUGAGACUCUCCCUUAUUGACAGGCCCUCCAUUGGAGCCACCGAGUUGGAGUCUGUUUCCUGCUGUGGUGCUGUCAGGCACAGUUUGUUCAUUCACGGUUUUUCAGUCCCUGUCUUCUGCCUGCUUGUCCCAGGCACCCAGGCACAUCGCUCCUAAGUAACAGGGAGUCAAUGGUUACGGAAUGCUGUGACAACACGACAGGAAAGGAGAGGGGGACUGCUUCCCCUCUAAUGGUAAGGAAGGCUGCCUGGAGGAGGAAACACUGCGGCUAUAAGCGGGAGCAAGUUUGCAAACGUGGAGCCCGGCUUCCUCCCAGCUGCCUCGGCUCCCUGAACGAUCUCACCGUCUAUUGCAAAGAACAGAGGGAGAGAAGACGGUGCCUGUAUGCCCCACGUCCUCUGAAAUCCAAUGUCACCUGGGCAAAUGUGACCACUGGGGAAGGACCUGCUUGGGGAAGUUGAAAAGCUGAAGCCCGAGGAGGUGGUUCCUGGGGGGAGGUAAAAAUCGUGUUGGCGAUCACCUGGACCUCGAACCUGACUCUGUUUUAUGCAUUAACUCGAGCCAUUGCUUCGUGGUUUUAAUACACACUGACAUAUUCCAGAAAGACAAGUACCAUGUAAAUGGAAGAAAGCAUGUCCUUUGUCUUGUUUGUAGCUUUACCAAGAUCACGCAACGUUUUGAGAAAUCACGUUACUGGUGACAAUGCCGUUCCUAGUGUUGGAAGUGCCAGGACAGCACGAUCUAACUGUACUUGUCAGCAUUGAAUUCUUGGUGAUUCCAUACCUUUUGUUAACGUGCUUGUUUAGCUCUUAUUUCAAAAUGUCAAAGAGAAAGAAUAAACAUGGAUAAUAUAUCAAA